UACAGAGGUCUCAAGCGUUGUUCGGAUUCAUUGGGCGUAAAGGGUGCGUAGGCGGCGCGGUAAGUCGGGUGUGAAAUCUUGGAGCUUAACUCCGAAACUGCAUUCGAUACUGCCGUGCUUGAGGACUGGAGAGGAGACUGGAAUUUACGGUGUAGCGGUGAAAUGCGUAGAUAUCUGGAGGAACACCGGUGGCGAAGGCGGCAUCCUGGACCGACACUGACGCUGAGGAGCGAAAGCGUGGGGAGCAAACAGG
rnacentral:rRNA from 1 species